rnacentral:rRNA from 1 species
UACGGAGGGGGCUAGCGUUAUUCGGAAUUAUUGGGCGUAAAGGGCGCGUAGGCGGCCCGGUAAGUCAAAGGUGAAAUCCCUCGGCUCAACUGAGGAACUGCCUUUGAAACUGUCGGGCUUGAGGCCGGGAGGGGGUAGCGGAAUUCCCAGUGUAGCGGUGAAAUGCGUAGAUAUCUGGAGGAACACCGGUGGCGAAGGCGGCAUCCUGGACCGGUAUUGACGCUGAGGAGCGAAAGCCAGGGGAGCAAACGGG